GACGAACGCUGGCGGCGUGCUUAACACAUGCAAGUCGAACGGAAAGGCCCUGCUUUUGUGGGGUGCUCGAGUGGCGAACGGGUGAGUAACACGUGAGUAACCUGCCCUUGACUUUGGGAUAACUUCAGGAAACUGGGGCUAAUACCGGAUAGGAGCUCCUGCUGCAUGGUGGGGGUUGGAAAGUUUCGGCGGUUGGGGAUGGACUCGCGGCUUAUCAGCUUGUUGGUGGGGUAGUGGCUUACCAAGGCUUUGACGGGUAGCCGGCCUGAGAGGGUGACCGGCCACAUUGGGGCUGAGAUACGGCCCAGACUCCUACGGGAGGCAGCAGUGGGGAAUAUUGCACAAUGGGCGGAAGCCUGGUGCAGCAACGCCGCGUGCGGGAUGACGGCCUUCGGGUUGUAAACCGCUUUCGCCUGUGACGAAGCGUGAGUGACGGUAAUGGGUAAAGAAGCACCGGCUAACUACGUG
rnacentral:rRNA from 1 species